rnacentral:misc_RNA from 1 species
UUGAGCUCUUCGCCUGUCGUAGUCCACGACAAUCCUGCAUGCUCUAGACCUACUUCUCUGAAAGGUGCAGCUGGCAAAAUUUAUUAUCGGAGCAAAGAAGGCGAGACCAUCCGUUUGAUUCGCCUUUGCAUUUUUGGCGCUCUGGGCUCGUUCCCAAUUGGUUUUGUGGCCCAGGCUCGGCUCGUUCUCGCCGACGUGGGAGGUACCUGCAGGCCCGCGGCCAGCAGGACAACAAGAUGGUCCGGACUCCGGAACAUGGAGGAGCUGCUGGCCCGGAUCAUGGCACACACGACGUGGCCAGGCGGUGGUGACGCCGACAGACGACGACGCUCGGACAAGAGCGAGAGCAACGAGGUUACGAGGACGACUGGGUCGAGAUCCAGACGUUGGGGCUGCUGGACGUGGCGGUGUCGUACCUGA